ACGGGGUGCAGCAGGCGCGAAACCUCUGCGAUAGGCGAAAGCUUGACAGGGUUACUCUGAGUGAUUUCCGUUAAGGAGAUCUUUUGGCACCUCUAAAAAUGGUGCAGAAUAAGGGGUGGGCAAGUCUGGUGUCAGCCGCCGCGGUAAUACCAGCACCCCGAGUGGUCGGGACGUUUAUUGGGCCUAAAGCAUCCGUAGCCGGUUCUACAAGUCUUCCGUUAAAUCCACCUGCUUAACAGAUGGGCUGCGGAAGAUACUAUAGAGCUAGGAGGCGGGAGGGGCAAGCGGUACUCGAUGGGUAGGGGUAAAAUCCGUUGAUCCAUUGAAGACCACCAGUGGCGAAGGCGGCUUGCCAGAACGCGCUCGACGGUGAGGGAUGAAAGCUGGGGGAGCAAACCGGAUUAGAUACCCGGGUAGUCCCAGCUGUAAACGAUGCAGACUCGGUGAUGAGUUGGCUUAUUGCUAACUCAGUGCCGCAGGGAAGCCGUUAAGUUUGCCGCCUGGGGAGUACGGCCGCAAGACUGAAACUUAAAGGAAUUGGCGGGGGAGCACCACAAGGGGUGAAGCCUGCGGUUCAAUUGGAGUCAACGCCGAAAAUCUUACCGGGGGCGACAGCAGAGUGAAGGUCAAGCUGAAGACUUUACCAGACAAGCUGAGAGGAGGUGCAUGGCCGUCGCCAGCUCGUGCCGUGAGGUGUCCUGUUAAGUCAGGUAACGAGCGAGAU
rnacentral:rRNA from 1 species